UUCCCCAGUCUUUCUCUUUUACACACUUACGUGCCUACAUACAUGAAUUUAUAUAGGGAAAUUUGAUUUUCUAUACUUAGAAAAUCAAAAAAUUUGAUUUCUAAACCAAUAAUUUAAACCCUAAAAAAACUAUACUUUUUUUUUUCAAAACCCCAAAAAUACCCCCAAACUAAAACUAUCUCUCUUUCUCUCUCUAUCUAGCCGGUCCCAAGAAUCCCACACCCCAGGUCCGACCAUCGGACCUCUCUCUUCCCCUCUCUCUCAAAUCGCAGGAAAAAAAAAAAAUUAAAA